GAGCAGCGGCGUGCGAGAGUAUCGUGUCUCGAAUAUCCCGAACAUUUUACCCGGAUAUUUGUAUACACAUCGCGCGAUUCGGGAACGGAAAUCUCUACGUGGGCCGAAUAGAAUACAUUUUUGAGUUUUCGAGUGAACAAUCCGAUUCAAAAGACAAAAAAAUAAUCGAACAAACCCGUCGUAUUCGGAGAAUCCGGCGUUACCUAAUAAUUUACGUAAAACGAUUUU